AUCAUACUGAACUCUAACAACCUCAGAAUGAUUACUAGUACCAGAACACACAUCUUCAUAUCUGGGAUUAUGCACGAAACCCUGUGAAUACCCAGCUUCAGUCUUUGUAACCCCAGCCACUCUUUGAUACGCCAGUUCAACGCCCCAAAAGCAACCUGCCCCAAAUUGAGCAAACUGUUGUCCCGGGUCGGGUACUUCAUGAUCGGGUCCUUGAGGAAUUUCAGAAGAAGAUGAAUCUAUGGAAGAUUCAGUUCUCGCACCGAAACCAAAUUUAUUGAGCCAACUAUUCAUCCUUGGAGAAUUCAUUUUUUGAGAAAUUGGGAGAAUUUUGAUGAAG
rnacentral:misc_RNA from 1 species